UUAAUUAACUGGAAAGGGGGGAAAAAUGGAAACCAGAAAAAAAUUAAUCAAGAAUCCAAAGAAGACAAAACGAUGAGUGAACGCUCCUUAAAAGCCAUUCUGAGCUUUAAUGGGGAGGCCAGGAGUACAGAUAACAUAAUAAACCUUGGGUUUUCGAGACUGGGUUCCAAAGGAGCUUCAAAGGGUUGGCUGUGUGGAGCUCUUAAACACAGUCCAGAGGCGCGUCCGGCCCAAGCUGCAUGUGUUCGGCGGAAUUCACGAAGGGUAUGGCACCAUGACUGACGGUUACACCACCUACAUCAAUGCCUCAACCUGUACAGUCAGCUUCCAACCGACCAACCCACCAAUCAUAUUUGACCUUCCAAACCCACAGGGCUCCUAAAGCGCUCGGCAUCCCAUUGGAAUGUGAGGGACAGUCUACAAACUGCCAUUUUUCUAAUUAUAAACUCACGUCCUCUGACUUGUUUAUUUCCAAAUCCUGUGAGUUCUUUUUGUAAAUUGUCGGAACAGGAGGGAAAAAAAUGUGAUGCUAGCAUUGUGCGGCCUCUUUUUGCUUUUUAAGUGGGGUAUCCAUUUGAAAUCAAAGGAGCAUUGUGAAUUUGUAAAAUGACUUCUGUUUGCUCAAAGGCCACGCCAUUGUAAAUUGUUAGUGUUUGCCAAAGGACAGCCAAGCUUUCUUUUAAAAAAAAAAUGAUGAUUUUAAAAAGUCUUAUUUGAAUAUGCUUUAAGCUGAAAGGAAAAGAUUUUAAAAAAAAAAAGACAGAAAGAAAGAAA
rnacentral:lncRNA from 1 species